rnacentral:rRNA from 1 species
CCUACGGGCGGCAGCAGUGGGGAAUAUUGGACAAUGGGCGGAAGCCUGAUGCAGCGACGCCGCGUGAGGGACGAAGUAUUUCGGGCUGUAAACCUCUAUCGUCAGGGAAGAAAAUGACGGAACCUGACUAAGAAGCCCCUGCCAACUACGUAACAGCAGCCGCGGUAAUACGGAGGGGGCGAGCGUUAGCCGGAUUUACUGGGUGUAAGGGGAGUGUAGACGGUUGUGAAAGUCUGAUGUGAAAGCCCAAGGCUCAACCAGGGGACUGCAUUUGAGACUGCAUAACUGGAGUGCAGGAGAGGUAAGAGGAAUGUCUAGUGUAGCGGUGAAAUGCGUAGAUAUUAGGAAGAACACCAGUGGCGAAGGCGGCUUACUGGACCGCAACUGACGUUGAUGCACGAAGGCGUGGGGAGCAAACAGGAUUAGAUACCCGAGUAGUC